AACGAACGCUGGCGGCGUGGAUAAGACAUGCAAGUCGAACGGGCUUAAAUGGGUAGCAAUAUCUGUUUAAGCUAGUGGCGAACGGGUGCGUAACACGUGAGCAACCUGCCGAAAAGUGGGGGAUAGCUCGCCGAAAGGCGAAUUAAUACCGCAUGUGACUAGAGAAGACAUCUUCUCAAAGUUAAAGCCGGGGCAACCUGGCGCUUUUUGGUGGGCUCGCGGCCUAUCAGCUUGUUGGUGGGGUAACGGCUCACCAAGGCUAUGACGGGUAACUGGUCUGAGAGGAUGAUCAGUCACACUGGAACUGAGACACGGUCCAGACACCUACGGGUGGCAGCAGUCGAGAAUCAUUCGCAAUGGGCGAAAGCCUGACGGUGCGACGCCGCGUGAAGGAUGAAGGUCUUCGGAUCGUAAACUUCUGUCAUUUGAGAACAAUUGUCGAAGCAAUAACUGGCUUUGGCUUGAUAGUAUCAGAAGAGGAAGAGACGGCUAACUCUGUGCCAGCAGCCGCGGUAAUACAGGGGUCUCAAGCGUUGUUCGGAUUCAUUGGGCGUAAAGGGUGCGUAGGCGGUGCUGUAAGUCGGAUGUGAAAUCCCGGAGCUCAACUUCGGAACUGCAUUCGAUACUG
rnacentral:rRNA from 1 species